CCUACGGGUGGCAGCAGUGGGGAAUAUUGCACAAUGGGGGAAACUCUGAUGCAGCGACGUCGCGUGAGGGAAGAAGUACUUCGUUACGUAAAGCUCUAUCUGCAGGGAAGAAAAUGACGGUACCUGAGUAAGAAUCCCUGGCUAACUACGUGCCAGCAGCCGCGGUAAUACGUAGGGGGCAAGCGUGAUCCGGAUUUACUGGGUGUAAAGGGAGCGUAGACGGUGCGCCAAGUCUGGAGUGAAAUGCUGCAGCUUAACUGCGUAACUGCUGUGGAAACUGGCGAACUAGAGUGCGGGAGGGGUAAGCGGAAUUCCUAGUGUAGCGGUGAAAUGCGUAGAUAUUAGGAGGAACACCGGUGGCGAAGGCAGCUUACUGGACCGUAACUGACGUUGAGGCUCGAAAGCGUGGGGAGCAAACAGGAUUAGAUACCCGGGUAGUC
rnacentral:rRNA from 1 species